GGGGAUUUAGCUCAGCGGCAUAAGUACCUGCCUUGCAAGCAGGUGGUCGUGAGUUCAAUCCCUA
rnacentral:tRNA from 1 species